UACGUAGGGCGCAAGCGUUAUCCGGAAUUAUUGGGCGUAAAGAGCUCGUAGGCGGCUUGUUGCGUCAGCUGUGAAAACCCGCAGCUCAACUGUGGGCUUGCAGCUGAUACGGGCAGGCUUGAGUUCGGUAGGGGAGACUGGAAUUCCUGGUGUAGCGGUGAAAUGCGCAGAUAUCAGGAGGAACACCGGUAGCGAAGGCGGGCUCUGGGACGGUACUGACGCUGAGGACGAGAAGCGUGGGGAGCGAACAGG
rnacentral:rRNA from 1 species